AGUGAACGCUGGCGGUAGGCCUAACACAUGCAAGUCGGACGGCAGCACAGUAAGAGCUUGCUCUUACGGGUGGCGAGUGGCGGACGGGUGAGGAAUACAUCGGAAUCUACUUUUUCGUGGGGGAUAACGUAGGGAAACUUACGCUAAUACCGCAUACGACCUACGGGUGAAAGCAGGGGAUCUUCGGACCUUGCGCGAUUGAAUGAGCCGAUGUCGGAUUAGCUAGUUGGCGGGGUAAAGGCCCACCAAGGCGACGAUCCGUAGCUGGUCUGAGAGGAUGAUCAGCCACACUGGAACUGAGACACGGUCCAGACUCCUACAGGAGGCAGCAGUGGGGAAUAUUGGACAAUGGGCGCAAGCCUGAUCCAGCCAUACCGCGUGGGUGAAGAAGGCCUUCGGGUUGUAAAGCCCUUUUGUUGGGAAAGAAAAGCAGCAGGUUAAUACCCCGCUGUUCUGACGGUACCCAAAGAAUAAGCACCGGCUAACUUCGUG
rnacentral:rRNA from 1 species